UACGUAGGGGGCAAGCGUUGUCCGGAAUUAUUGGGCGUAAAGCGCGCGCAGGCGGUGAUUUAAGUCUGAUGUGAAAGCCCACGGCUCAACCGUGGAGGGUCAUUGGAAACUGGGUCACUUGAGUGCAGGAGAGGGGAGUGGAAUUCCACGUGUAGCGGUGAAAUGCGUAGAUAUGUGGAGGAACACCAGUGGCGAAGGCGACUCUCUGGCCUGUAACUGACGCUGAGGCGCGAAAGCGUGGGGAGCAAACAGG
rnacentral:rRNA from 1 species